UGCUGAGGUCCGGGCUGUGCUCCGUACCGGACAGGGCCCUGGCUUUAGCAGA
ensembl:miRNA